rnacentral:rRNA from 1 species
AUUCCAGCUCCAAUAGCGUAUAUUAAAGUUGUUGCAGUUAAAACGCUCGUAGUCGGAUUUCGGGGCGGCUUCGUCGGUCUGCCGAUGGGUAUGCACUGACGCGGGCGUCCUUCCUUCCGGAGACGCGUCCUACUCUUAGCUGAGCGGGGCGUGGAGACGGAUCGUUUACUUUGAAAAAAUCAGAGUGUUUCAAGCAGGCAUCAUCGCUCUUGCAUGGAUUAGCAUGGGAUAAUGAAAUAGGACCUUGGUGCUAUUUUGUUGGUUUCGAGCACCGAAGUAAUGAUUAACAGGGACAGUCAGGGGCACUCGUAUUCCGCCGAGAGAGGUGAAAUUCUCAGACCAGCGGAAGACGAACCACUGCGAAAGCAUUUGCCAGGGAUGUUUUCAUCG